rnacentral:rRNA from 1 species
GACGAACGCUGGCGGCGUGCUUAACGCAUGCAAGUCGUACGUGAAGGGGUUUUCGGACUCCUGAAAGUGGCGAACGGGUGAGUAAUACGUAGAUGACCUGCCUUAAAGUGGGGGAUAACUACUGGAAACGGUGGCUAAUACCGCAUAGAGCUGUGACCGUUGGGAGGUUGCAGGGAAAGCUCCGGCGCUUAGAGAGGUGUCUACGUCCGAUUAGCUAGUUGGUGGGGUAAAGGCCUACCAAGGCGACGAUCGGUAGCUGGUCUGAGAGGACGAUCAGCCACACGGGAACUGAGACACGGUCCCGACUCCUACGGGGGGCAGCAGCGAGGAAUAUUGGGCAAUGGGCGAAAGCCUGACCCAGCAACGCCGCGUGAAGGAAGAAGGCCUUCGGGUUGUAAACUUCUUUUGUGGGGGAAGAGAGAGGACGGUACCCUGCGAAUAAGUCACGGCUAACUACGUGCCAGCCGCCGCCGUAA